GCCCAAACAGAAAGUAAAACAACCAAACAGUAGAAAGUUAAAGAAGAUGGCGAGUUGCAACAUCCACAUGCUGUGCUUAUGUUGAAGCACGAAAAGGUUGUGCCCAUAUUUAUGAAUAUAAUCCAGAUAUAUCCUCAGGCACUAACAUACCCAAUUUGGUCAAAAGAUUUUCCAGGAGCAUGGCAUAAUCCAAUUCAUUUCAACAAUUUAACAUCGUUAAUUUCCCAUUUUGACUCGAAAGUUAUUGUUA
rnacentral:misc_RNA from 1 species